GAUGAACGCUGGCGGCGUGCCUAAUACAUGCAAGUCGAGCGAACGGACGAGAAGCUUGCUUCUCUGAUGUUAGCGGCGGACGGGUGAGUAACACGUGGAUAACCUACCUAUAAGACUGGGAUAACUUCGGGAAACCGGAGCUAAUACCGGAUAAUAUUUUGAACCGCAUGGUUCAAAAGUGAAAGACGGUCUUGCUGUCACUUAUAGAUGGAUCCGCGCUGCAUUAGCUAGUUGGUAAGGUAACGGCUUACUAAGGCAACGAUGCAUAGCCGACCUGAGAGGGUGAUCGGCCACACUGGAACUGAGACACGGUCCGGACUCCUACGGGAGGCAGCAGUAGGGAAUCUUCCGCAAUGGGCGAAAGCCUGACGGAGCAACGCCGCGUGAGUGAUGAAGGUCUUCGGAUCGUAAAACUCUGUUAUUAGGGAAGAACAUAUGUGUAAGUAACUGUGCACAUCUUGACGGUACCUAAUCAGAAAGCCACGGCUAACUACGUG
rnacentral:rRNA from 1 species